CUAUACAUGACUCUGCGCAUAUCAAUAAGCGGAGGAAAAGAAACUAACAAGGAUUCCCUUAGUAACGGCGAGUGAAGCGGGAAGAGCUCAAAUUUGAAAUCUUCAAGGUUUUACCUUGACGAAUUGUAGUUUAAAGAAGUGUUUUCUGCUGAAGUUUUGGUAAAAGUUCUUUGGAAUAGGACAUCAUAGAGGGUGAGAAUCCCGUAUUUGACCAUUAUUUUCAGCUUUGUGAUACACUUUCAAAGAGUCGGAUUGUUUGGGAAUGCAGUCCAAAAUGGGUGGUAAAUUUCAUCUAAAGCUAAAUAUUGGCGAGAGACCGAUAGCGAACAAGUACCGUGAGGGAAAGAUGAAAAGAACUUUGAAAAGAGAGUUAAACAGUACGUGAAAUUGUCAAAAGGGAAGCGUUUGACACCAGUGUUGUUUUUCUGAAAAUCAAUUAAAGAACUGUUUAUGCUAAGUUGUUUAGACUUUAUCAGCUAACUGUUUAGUUUUGAGCUUUUCUUUAAUGCACUUUUCAGUUAACAAGUCAACAUCAAUUUCUUUUGCUGUAAAAAAGCUUGAGGAAGGUGGCUUGAGAUUCGUCUUAAGUGUUUAUAGCCUCUUGCCUAUGCAGUCAGAGAGAUUGAGGUCUGCAGCGUAGAUCCUUCGGGGCUAAAUGCAUUUGUGCUAAGUUAUAGCAUUUUAUAGACAACUUGUUGACUAUGAUUUGUCUUGUAGCUUACUCGCUUAUGUUAUUUUACCUACGCUUAGGAUGUUGACAGCAGUAUAGACUGU
rnacentral:rRNA from 1 species